UACGUAGGGUGCGAGCGUUAUUCGGAAUUACUGGGCGUAAAGCGUGCGCAGGCGGUCUGUUAAGUCCGAUGUGAAAUCCCCGGGCUUAACCUGGGAACUGCAUUGGUGACUGGCAGGCUUUGAGUGUGGCAGAGGGAGGUAGAAUUCCACGAGUAGCAGUGAAAUGCGUAGAGAUGUGGAGGAAUACCGAUGGCGAAGGCAGCCUCCUGGGCCAACACUGACGCUCAGGCACGAAAGCGUGGGGAGCAAACAGG
rnacentral:rRNA from 1 species